CCUGCCAUUGCCCGAUGUCUUGUCUGAAGCAAUGUUAGCAUGAAAUCUGGACCCUCCUUGGCUCCCUGCUUCCACACCGGGCCAUACCUUCGAGCGAGAACUCCUCCCAGGAUGUGGUCCUGGGGCUCAGCCCUGAUGAGUGGGCACUUUCGGGCUGCCUAGGCCUGGAUGCUCCCACAGUGGAGCCCCACACACCUUCCAGCUUUAGAUCCUUCCUUGCAGAGACACAGCUGAGGUUGCUGGGCCCUCCUAGUCCUCAGUCUCACUGUCAGGUGAGGCUGAUGCCCCCUACAUUGCUGAGUGAUUAGAUUUAUGUACAAGGUCUUUCAUUGGCCUGGAACUCACAAAAUUGGCCCAGCUGGCUGGCCAGAAAGCUCCUGGAAUCUGUCUGUCUCAGACUUCCUAUGCUAAGGUUCAGCUGUGCAGAGGGGACUUGAAAAGACAGCCUGACUACCUCCCACCUACCUGAAAAGCCUCAAAGCUGGGGGAACCUAUCAGCAACUUUCCUCUGGACUGCAUGGGUCCUGUAGUUAAAAUACAGCUUGUGCAGGGCUGAGGACAUGGCUCAGUUGGUAAAGUGUCUGUCUAGCGUGCAUGAGGUCCUGGGUUCUAUCCCCAGUACCACAUAAACCAGGUGUGAUGGUGAGCACCUGUGGUCCUAGUACUUGCGGGGGUGGAGGCUAGAGGAACAGAGGUUCAAGGUCAUUCUGGGUUACUUGUGAGC